UUCACGGUGUGCCUCGCACAUUUUCUCACACUUUUCUGGCUGCGCUGUGCCACAUUGAUUUAAAUGUAUCUGUUGAGGGGAAAAUAAUCAAUGCAAAUUCCCUGGCAGUGCAGCCAACAAAUAAGACAUGUCUGAUUCAUCAAGCGGACAUUGCUAUAAAGACCACUCUUUCUCCUUUGUCCCAUUUCUCUCUCUCUUUCUCUAUUUCUCUCUCUCUCUUCUCUCUCACCUCUGGGCACUUCACCCUUUUUUACUCUGUUCACCUUUCUCUGUCUAAAAACUCUUAGCCUGAAUUAGUGGAAGGAACUUUAUGCCUAUACAUAUACCUAUGGAAUUACAGAAUAGCCAUCUAAUUAAGGGACAGAUCCAGCAUGGACAGUUACGGGAGUGAGGGAUAUGAAGUACCUGUCUGAGAAAGUAAGGAAACAUGAGAACACCAGGGCAAACAUGGAUGAUUCUGUCAAGCCAGCGUUAGCAGGGUAGGCAGAGUGAACAUCGCUACACAGCUGGACUUCGGCCACAGGAUCGCACUUUUGCAGCUGGGCUACCCUGCCUCACUUGGAUGCAUCAACAAAGCUUGAAGAGGCCACUCUAAUCUGGUUAAGUAUUGCCUGGUUGAGGAGAAAUUAGCCGAAUUCUUUUAACUUUUCAAACAAACAUAAUACAGUCGAACUUGCUGGAUGAGAAUCAAUUACAUGAACUGAAAAUAGGUUCGGGGGGGAUAUCAUUUCAUUUCUGGAAAUCAUCUAAUACAUCUAUUCAAUGGCAUAUGCCUGUAGUGUCACAUCGGAGCCAUAUUUCAGUCCAGUGGAAUGAAUGAAGCAGAGGAGUAUCUGUUGAAACACUGCCGGAAUACGUUUCACAAAUCUUUUUCACCCACUGGUGAUAUUGCCAUUAUCAGCAUUACUUCAAAAAUAGUUAUUCCCUGCCUAAAUCUAUAAGAUAUUGUAAGGAAUAAUGGGAUAAUUUUAGGGUAAUUGCAUAGUUUCUCACUAUGAUUGGUUGGAUUGGUGACCGCAAACUAUUGUCCUAGUGGUAUUGGUCUAUAAAAUAAAAUAAUCUCUGUCUAAAACAUGUUCAGUUUAUUCAUAUUUUAACAAAUUUGUUUCUGUGAAGGUUGAGAAAUAUAUUUUCCUGAAAUACAAAUUGCUUUGAGGCCACCGAUAUAAACAGUGCAAAGGAUGUCUGGUUUAGUAAUCCAAAAGGAUGUAUGUUUUAGUUAUAACAAAUAUAUGGUAUACUUUAUCAUCUUAAGCCUUUGAUAUAACCCUGCGACCCAUGAAGCAAUUCUCAUUCGAAUUCUCAUUAAAUUAAUCACCUUUUCACUCAAAAGUCAUGUUUGUUUUUGUAUCUUAUGUUAAAAAUAUCCAUCUGUGUACCUGUCCAACAAAUCACAGUGUGUGGGUAGAUUGAUUACCACAAACAUAGUAAAAGAAAUAUUUAUAUUUAUACUAUUUUGCUAUCUUCUCUUUUCAAGAGAUAAGAUUCUAAAAAAACAUAAUGAUUCGACUUGCCUAACAGAUGGUUGCGAGAAGAAAAAAGAAUAGGAUCACAAUACAAACAUUUUUGUUGUAUUGAACAUUUUAUCCCAUUGGAUCUUUGGGGCAGAUUGUCUCCAUUUUUCAAUGUGUCUAAACCCUUUGUUUGAGAGAGAUCUGUUAAAUCUGUCUCGCUGCUAAUAAACUGCCAUUAUUCCCUCCAACAAGGCUGCACUCAUUAAUAAUGCUUCUGUCAGAUGCUCAUUCUCUUCUGUGAAAAUAGAAAAUAUCAUUAAUUACAGUUUCUGUCACCCUUUGACAGCUCAAGCAAUUGUUCCAGUC